rnacentral:misc_RNA from 1 species
GAACCGACUUUUCUUUUACCUUCAUCCUCAAAUUUCACUAAAACCACUAUUUUGCCAUUGAUUUCACCCCUAUAUAUACCUCUCCCCCUUCCGUUCUUAAGUUUGCCGAAAUUUAUUCAGUGAAGAACUUCUGUUAAACAAUGGAAUCGUCAUCGUCCAAAAACAAAUUGCACCAUAAUUAUCAACGAUCCGUUUCACCAUCGGGUCGGUUCUGUUCUUCCACUAUUUCUUCCUCCACCUUCUCUGCUCAAACCUCCGAUUGGUUAACCCGAUCCACCUCCCCAACCCGAGUUAAUCUCCGUCGAUCAGUUUCCCCUUCCC